rnacentral:tRNA from 1 species
GGGGUUGUGGCUCAGCGGUAGAGCACUCACCUAGCAUGUGUGAGGCCCUGGGUUCGAUCCUCAGUACCACA